rnacentral:rRNA from 1 species
GUUGCGGUUAAAAAGCUCGUAGUUGGAUUUCUGUUGAGGGUGACCGGUCCGCUCUUUGAGCGCGUAUCUGGCUCAGCCUUGGCAUCCUCUUGGGGAACACAUUGUGCUUAGUUGUAUGGUGUGGGAUUCAAGACUUUUACUUUGAGGAAAUUAGAGUGUUCACUGCAAGCGUUAGCAAUUGAAUACAUUAGCAUGGAAUAAUAAUAUAGGACCUUGGUACUAUUUUGUUGGUUUCUAGAACUAAGGUAAUGAUUAAUAGGGACAAUUGGGGGCAUUCGUAUUAACGUGUCAGAGGUGGAAUUCUUAGAUUACGUUACGACGAACUACUGCGAAAGCAUUUGCCAAGGAUGUUUUCAUUGGUCAAGAACGAAAGUAUGGGGAUCGAAGACGAUUAAUACCGUC